rnacentral:rRNA from 1 species
ACUACAUGAAGCUGGAAUCGCUAGUAAUCGCAGAUCAGAAUGCUGCGGUGAAUACGUUCCCGGGUCUUGUACACACCGCCCGUCACACCAUGGGAGUCGGAAAUGCCCGAAGCCAGUGACCCAACCUUAAGGAGGGAGCUGUCGAAGGUGGAGCCGAUAACUGGGGUGAAGUCGUAACAAGGUACC